rnacentral:lncRNA from 1 species
AUGGUGACUGGUGAGGCGAGAGUGUCCAGGCAGGUUGUUGGACUGCUCUGGCUUGAGGUGUCUCUGUUCUCUUCUGGUCUCUCCCAGGAAAGGCGCUCUCAAAGCCUCAACUCCCCAGAUGUGGUGAUUCCCUUGAAGGUUACCAACGGGGGCAGAGGUCCAACUGCUCCAGGUUGGCUCUCCUACAGCCUGCAGUUUGGGGGUCAGAGACAUGUUGUCUGCAUAAGAGCUAAGAAGAUCUUGAUUUCCAAACCCCUCCCAGUGUUCACCUACACGGACCAGCACGCCCUUCAGCAGGAUCAGCCUUUUGUUCCUAAUGACUGCUAUUAUCAUGGUUAUGUGGAGGGGGUCCCCGAGUCCCUUGUUGCCCUCAGUACUUGUGCCGGGGGCUUUCAAGGAAUGCUGCGGAUAAAUGACUUUACCUAUGAAAUCAAGCCCAUCAGGCACUCUACUACAUUUGAACACCUGGUAUAUACGAUAAACACUAAAGAGACACAGUUGUCACCUAUGAGAUGUGGCUUAAAUAAAGCAGCACACCAGCAGCUGGAAUUCGAAGAGGCUGAGAAAUUAACUCUGAAACAAAAUUCUGCUUAUAACCGGUGGGCCCAUUUGUGGUUUCUGGAGCUGGUUGUGGUGGUAGAUCACAAUUUCUUCAUUUAUUCUCAAAGUAAUUUCUCAAAGGUGCAGGAGAAUGUUUUUGUUGUUGUCAACAUAGUGGAUUCCAUUUAUCAGCAGUUGGGUACCUAUGUGAUUUUGAUGGGGAUUGAGAUUUGGAAUCAUGGAAAUGUUUUCCCACUGAUAAGCAUAGAACAGGUUCUGGAGGACUUCUCUCAGUGGAAACAAAUCAGUCUUUCCCAGCUACAGUGUGAUGUUGCACAUAUUUUCAUUGAAAAUUCACUUAUAAGUGUCCUCGGUAUAGCCUAUGUGGCAGGAAUAUGUCACCCUCCUCUCGACUGUGGAGUUAAUAAUUUCAAAGGAGACCCCUGGUCUGUUUUUGCUCUCACUGUAGCUCAUGAGUUAGGUCAUACUCUGGGUAUGCAGCAUGAUGAAGAAUUCUGUGUGUGUGGACAAAGUGCUUGCAUCAUGAAUGCUAUCAGGUUGCCAGCAGAGAGAUUCACGAAUUGUAGCUAUGCAGAAUUUACAAAGACCACUUUAAAUCAGGGAUCAUGUCUGCACAAUCUGCCAAUUCCAGGGGCAGUCUUCAUGCUGAAGCACUGUGGGAAUGGUGUGAUUGAAGGAGAAGAGCAGUGUGACUGUGGAUCAAUAAAGCAGUGUGAACAAGAUCCCUGUUGUCUGUUGAACUGCACUCUAAGACCUGGGGCUGCUUGUGCUUUUGGGCUUUGUUGCAAAGACUGCAAGUUCAUGCCAUCAGGGGAGCUCUGUAGACCUCAGAUCAAUGAAUGUGACCUUCCAGAAUGGUGCAAUGGGACAUCUCAUCAGUGCCCAGAAGAUGUCCAUGUGCAGGACGGGAUUCCCUGUAGUGACAGUGCCUUUUGCUAUCAGAAGAGCUGCAACAGCCAUGAUGGACAGUGCAGGGAGAUUUUUGGUGAAGGCGCAAAGAGUGCAUCUCCAAGGUGCUAUAAAGAAAUCAACUCCCAGGGAAACCGUUUUGGCCACUGUGGUGUAAAUGGCACAGCAUACCUAAAAUGCCCUAUUUCAGACAGCUUUUGUGGGAGAGUUCAUUGUGAGAAUGUGGGGAACAUCCCCCACCUGGGAGAUCACUCAGAUUUGCAAUACACUCACAUCAAUGGUGUCACCUGCUGGAGUGUAGACUAUCACUUAGAGAUGAGUACACCUGAUGUUGGUGAAGUGAAAGAUGGCACCAUGUGUGGUCCAGGAAAGAUCUGCAUACACAAGAAGUGUGUCAGCCUCUCUCUUCUGUCACAGCUCUGCUUGCCUGAGACCUGUAACAUGAAGGGGAUAUGCAACAGCAGACAUCACUGCCACUGCAGCUCUGGGUGGUCCCCGCCCUACUGCCUACACAGAGGCACUGGAGGUAGCGUUGACAGUGGCCCAGCAUCUGCCAGAAGAGUUUUCUUGCCAAUAGUUGUCCCUCUUGGUUUGUUUGUUUUGCUUUUACCUUUAAUUGCUGUAUUUAUGCAUCUUCAAAAAUGUUUUAGACCCAAGAAGACUAAGACUCACUCUCCCAGUUAA